AUACGAAGGGUGCAAGCGUUAAUCGGAAUUACUGGGCGUAAAGCGCGCGUAGGCGGUUUGUUAAGUCAGAUGUGAAAGCCCCAGGCUCAACCUGGGAACUGCAUUUGAAACUGGCAGGCUAGAGUGUGGUAGAGGGAAGUGGAAUUUCAGGUGUAGCGGUGAAAUGCUUAGAUAUCUGAAGGAACAUCAGUGGCGAAGGCGACUUCCUGGACCAACUCUGACGCUGAGGUGCGAAAGCGUGGGUAGCAAACAGGAUUAGAAACCCUAGUAGUCC
rnacentral:rRNA from 1 species